rnacentral:lncRNA from 1 species
GUGUGAUACAAUAUAUACUAAUGAGCAUGUACUGUAACAGCCAGUGUUUCAAACAUUGCUUCUAACUUGUCAUCUUCCAAUUCUAAAAGAUAGAUACAAGAAACACAAGGAGAUCAUAACUCUAGCGAUAGCUGGCAACAUCCAUAUACUCCUAUGACUGGCAAGAUAUCUUCUUUUCUCAUUUUUUUCCCACCCAUUCUUCUUCUCGUCCUUCUUCCUUUGCCUUCUUGCCACAUCCUAUCCAAUAGUUUUUCUUCCACUGCACGCUUCUCUUCGUCCUCCAUCCCAUCUUUUCCUACUUCUAAUCUUCUAUUUUCUCUUUCAUUAUGGAUUUUACUUACUUUAGUUUUUUUAGAUAUAAACCAUCUAGGUACCCACAUCCAGCCUAGGUGCUUCACAAAAGCCAAGUUGACAACACACCACCACCAUUUUUCAGAACCACAAGGCUUAAAAGCCCAAAGCCAAGGGUCAAGAAAUAACAAAAAUGUCUCAAGGUUUUGACCUCUUUGGAACUUGUAUUUCAUUAGUGAAAUGCACAAUAUUACCAUGCCAAAGACAAGGCAUAUAUCUUAUCAUGUAUGUAUAUGUCAUCCUUUAAAAGAAAAAAAUUAUAAAAUUCUUCUAGUAACAAAAUCAUUUGCUAAAACAACAAUCAUGUGCCCAUAAAACUAGACAUCUUGUCUAUUAUUCUAUUGUUUUGGCUAAAUUCAAAGCACUUUUAGGCCAUGUUUGGAUGCUGGUUAUGGGGUUAGUAGGUGAAAUGGUGUUUUCACUUUGCCUGGUCGAUGCCCCAAAAAACUUAGCUCAACCAGGCUAAGUUUAUUUCAUAGGGGAAGGUGAAAUAGAUUUAAUCACCAAGGCUCUCACUCUUCUCUCUCUUUACUCCCCACUUCUUCUCCCCCUAACCCUCAAACAUCAAGCAAACAGCAAAUAAUUCUACCACAUUAUUAUUUGAUUAGAUGGUGGUUACCCAUAGUUAUAAGUAUCUAACUCCAGGUAAGCUAGUUGGCUACAAAGAGGGCCUCAAUAGUCCUAACCUGUGAUUUAGGAUUUUGGUCUCAAUCUCCUGGGAAAGUUGACUUGGUCAUAUGAUGAAGUCGAGAAGCUUAUAUUCUUAACAUUAUUUCUAAUCAUUUUGACUUAAAUAUUAAAGGCUAACACCUCAACCCACCUCAAGGCUUAUUUCUCACUUUUUUAAACUGAAGUGCUGAACUGUAUCGAGCUCUAUAUUUAACCAUUUAAACAAUAGGUUCUUAAAGCAACCACUUUUUCCCAUUAAGGCAAACAUGUUGAGCAUGAAGGCAUGAGCACUUCAACCCUAAGGAGGCGUUUGGUGAUCCAAUUAGGAUCACCACGGUAAUCUAAGAUCACUGGUGAUCCAAAUCCUGGGAUGAUCUGAUCCCUAGUGAUCUAAGAUCACUAUGUUUGGUUGGCCAUAACGUAGUAAUUAAAGAUCCUCAGAUAUGUACAAGUAAUUUGUUUGUAUGCUAUAGAAAUUCAAGAUCACCGACCACAUAAUACCAAAAAAUACCCCUGUCAUAUCUCAAAUGGAAAGAAAAAAAGAUAGAGAAGAGACAGAAGAAGAGGAAAGUCUCGGAUAAUCGUAAUUGGGUUGAGAAAACGAACUCACCACUUCAAGUCACCCUCUCAACAAAGCUUUAGGAGUUGGGAUUGAGGAUUGGGACAAAAAAAAUUAUAAAAAAUACCUAAUCAAUUUUUUCUUUCUGAUCACCAUGGCAAGAAAAGGAAGAUUUCCUUCUCUUCCAUAGAGAUGAUACCCCAACUACCCACCCCAGCAACAUGCGUCAACAAUACCGCGUACGAGCGCAAAAAAAAUAUCACCUGAUAGAGUGACGUUAGAUAUCCAUAGAUUUCCUGUUCCAGAAAGUCUCUCCAUUACAAGGAUCUUUUUAUUAACAUAUUUUAAUAUAAAAUCACCGUGAUAGAGUGACGUUAGAUAUCCAUCCUCAAAAGUAGAUUUAGGAGUAGAUUUUCUAUCACUGUGUUAGACGGUAAUUUGAGUGGGGAUAAUUUGAAAUCACUGUCACGAAGGAUCACCAUGAUGCAACCAAACAUGGUGAUCUCAUCACCUACAACCACAUCACCCUCAAUCUUGGAUGGAUUACCCCAUACCAAACGCCCCCAAAAAUUUAGACAAGCACCAUGCACUAUGCACAUAUACUAAUGAAAAAACAAAAUAAAUGCAAGCAAAGAAUUUAAAAAAAUGUAAAUGAUCUAAAACUAGAAUUUAAAGUUGUAAGCAAGUAUGAUUGGCUCUCAUAGAUACAAGGUCAGCCCAUAAUCAAGCAUUAACCGUAGAUAAAUUAUAGUUAAAUCAAGUACGAUUAAACACUUUUCCCUUUCUUCUGCCACUCUUCUCCCUUCUCUCUUGUUGUCUUUGAAGGAAAUGUCUUUAUGGGUCCAAGCAAAAUAUGCAUUCACCUAAUAACCCAAGUUUUAAGAGAGUGUAUGGGAGGCAACCCAAACUUAGGCAAGGCCCUCAAUGGAUGUAUGGAAUAACUUUGCUAGUAUUAGUUCAUUAGGCAUAUAAGGGAACUCCAGUGGACCUAACUUUGUUCAUACUUUUCAAAAGUAAUGGUGUCCUACAAGAACAUAAUCGGAAAUGAUCAUAACUCAUUAUUGGAUCAGUUUUCAACGCUCAUGUGAUGUCAUAUGUGUAGUUAAUAUCAAAGUUCAAGCACAUAAAUAACAUUGCCUCAUGUGAUGUCAUUUGGAUCUACAGCACUAUAAUUUGACCCUAUCAAUAACAUUUGUAGCAGUGUUUCUUCACUUUCUUGGACUCAACUAGCACAUGUCUAAGGAACAGGCUGCACAUUUAAUAAAAUCAUUAUUUAUUACAAAAUGGUGUCAAUAGUACUUAUUCUUGAUAAAUUUAUGUCAUAUUGUAUUUUUUGGAAGGAUCAAGGACAAAACAACCUUCCUUUCACAGCACAAAAAAUUCUUCCACCUCCAUUCUAGGAUUGAACCAAGCACAUUCAAAUUAACCCAAAAUAGACCAAUUGAGGGUCUAGCUAAUGAUCAAACUCCGAAGUACAAUUAUGGAUGAAACUUUAGAUUAGUUAAGCACUUAAGAUACUAGAAGAAUCAUGAUAUUAUGUGCAUUUACACAGUUUUGGAAUUACAUGUUAUCCUUCUACACAAGUAAUAGCUUUUGCCUUGAAAUGAAAAUUCAUAAAAUUCUUGAAAGGUUGGAAAUAUAAAAGGAGAAAUUUCCAAAUUGAUGAUUACCUAUCAUCUUAUAUUUUUCCCUUUUUAAAUUUAUCCUUUAACAAUGAAGCUCAACUUUCAAAAUGUUUAAAUUUUGAAUCAGUGGAAAAGAAAAAUUGUGAUACUUGAAAUUAAAAACAUCCAAAUACAAUUUCAUUAUGAAUCUAUGGAUUCUUAAAAAAACCCAGGGGUCAAUGUUUAAACUCAAUGAAGAUCAAACAUCACCUGACAAACUUUAGGUGGCCUUUGAAAAUAUCUGAUGUUAGCUUUUUUUUGAACUAUGCAUGUUCCUUUCAUAAAAAGAAACUUUAUCCAUCCAGUUUUAAUCCUUUAACACCUCAAAACCAAGGUUUGAAAUAUUGAUUGGUACAGAAUGUACUGGCACACACAUGCCAUGUUGCCUUAGGACCAGUACAAAGCACGAGCAGUACCUAGCAUAACCACAUCCAAAUCAACCCUAAAUCAAGUAGUUUAGGGCAUACUACAUUCAAACCUAGCUUGAAUCAAGCCUGGAUCAAGAACCAGACAAUCCAACCCUAACAAAGCUCAAGAUGACGUCUACUUGAUUUGGGGGCUCAUCUUCCACCAUUUUAACUAUAAAACCUACUUGGUUUCACCAAAAAUUGAACUGGAUGUUUAAAUAACAACUUUAGAUAAUAAAGAGUUCACUUCAAGAGCAGAUGCUCAUGGGAUUCACCUUGCAUUGGUACAUCUUAUCUAAUCCCAAUUUCCCAUCCUCUUUACAUGUUUGUAUAAGAACCAUAAGGAGGACUUUAAAUAUAACUAAGACCAAAUCUUGUUUACUUAAAAUCUUAACAAAAACGACACAGUAAGAAUUAUAAAUAGAACUUCUUCCAAAUAAGAAUGCUUUUGAUACCCAAAUUUCUCACCAAAUCUCACUUAGACUAACCAAAUUUCAACAUCCUCAAUCACAGAGAGUUAUCAAUCUAGAAAAUACUUACCAAAUAGCGGCCAAGCUUGGGCUUUAUCUUAAAUGGAAUUGUAUCUAGUCCAACGCUAGUUUGUUUUUAAAAAGAUUUAGAUCCAGCUCUAAUAACCAUUGUUAAGUUUGAACCAACAUAUAAAGUAUUGGCACAUAAUUUUGAGUUCUACUAGAAUGAAGUCCUACAUUAUUGAUAUAGCUUGGUUAUGUAUGCACACGCAAACACAGCCCAUAUGUAUAUAUUCUGUAUAUCAUGUAUUUCUCAGUUUCAACUAUGCAAACGACAAUUUGUUGCGCAUGAUUAUGGACUUAUAUUUGGCUUGCAUCUAGCAAGAUGCUAAUUUGGUGGGAUUCAUUCCCCAAAAACCUAAUCAAGCUUCAUAUUUUGCAGUAGACAAAUCUUAGUUUGUCGAUUUCCAAAUGCAACUAUUCAUGUAUUGUAUCACCUCUCUUUUUGCAAUAGAGGGGGUGAUCAUGUAAUUACAUUGUCAGGCAUUGAUUGUUUUGAACCAGCAAAUUUAGAGCUGAACAAAAAUAAAUUGGCCAUUCAAAUGUAGACAUGUUGAAGUAAAGAUUAAGGUAGAACAUCUCUUGCUGCAUAUACUACAAAUAAGAUCAUGAUAUUUGUGAUGUUGCUCGACCAUACUAGUUUCCCUUUUUUUCAAAAAAAAAAAAGGAAUUUUGAAGUGUGAUAAUAGGAUUUCUACUUUAGUAGAGUACUUGAAGUUCACCAUUGUCUCUACUCUCUACCCACCAUAUGUUCCCCAUAUUAGCAACCAAAUAACUAAAAAAAGUCUUUAUUCCAAAGUCUAUACAUGCAUUAAAUAAAAGCAAACAAACGUAAAUAUCUAAUCAAUUCUUUUUGAGUCAUUGACUUCAGUAUACAUAGAAAAUCAUGACUAGAACAGUUCAAUUGAAAUCCAAUCUUAUUUUUUGCAACAACUUACCAUUAAGGUAGAAAACAUGAUAAAAAGACAGAGACCAGAGUUUGGAUGUUAAUGGAGGCCUUCACAAGGGUGUGUAGACAAUAUUAAUGUGUAUCAAUCAAUACCUUUGCUAAAACAAUCCUCAAUAUGGCAACCUUACUGUACCUACUGCCAAUCGGUACAACCCCAUACACGGAUCGAACCUUGGUUAAAUCAAAAAAGGCAUAUCCAUUCACUCAUUGAUGGUCUCUUGAUAACAUGUGAAUCACAAAUGGGGGUGCUCAAUUGACAAGCUUUUCUGCUACAAAUUUAUCUAUGUUUGAUCUUUCAACAAAUUUUAUGGAUGACAGCUUGGAUGCGAUAGGUACCAUGGCAGGAAUCUUUACAAGUCUCAAAGGUAUUAUUGAAUUUGAUAUGGAUGGAAAUGAUGUACAAAGUGGUGGUAAUAGAUGCUCCAAAGGGUGGGAAGCAAGGCACGCCAUCUCGGCACCAAACACCAUACUGAUGCCACCCUGUCACAGUGUAUGGGGGCUGGUUUCCACAUACCAAGUGUCAAUAUGCCCUUGUACCAUGUGCCUGUACUAAACCGGUAUGGUAUGAUAUGCGCCAUACCGCACAGGUCAGUAAGGUAUGGCGUACCUUGGUGGGAAGAGUUCCAACUUGUUAGGCCACUCAAAACAGACCUAUACUCAUAUCUCAUAGCAGCUAUAAAUAUUAAAAACCAAUGGAAUUCAACAAGUGUAGGAAUUUAUAAUUAUUUGCAAAUCAUGUAUUGAUGAAACAAGAAAUGGUUAUCUGCAAAAGUUAAAUUCCUAUGAAAGCAUUGGAGGAUAGCCAAAAUUAUAUCAAAAGACUUACUUUUCCUAAAAAUCUCUUGGGAAUUUAAAGUCCAAUGCUUACAAUUCAUUGCAUCUUCGCAAAAUCAGUUUAAUCUAGAUAGAAUGCUUAUUGACAUUUAAUAAAACAACAAAAUGAAAAUGCCCUUCAAACUAUUUUUUGACGAAAAGUCCAAAAUGACACCUAUUUCUGAUAUUUUUGUUUUGGAAUUUUGAAUCAUCUUACAAACCAUAUACAUGCUGCUAAGAGUUAAUAAAGCCACAAAGUCAAAUAUUAAACAAUAGAAAGUGCUUGAGCACAUUAGAUGAACAAGUAGAUAAGGAAAUAUAGAGUGAAUUUUUUAACAAAACAAGAUAGAAUAGGGUCGAACGCAAGCAGAUUAUAGAAUAGAUGAGUUGCACUAAUUGAGAGUGAAAUACUAAAAGACCAAUGAAGAAGAAAACAGGAAGGCCUAGUGACAAGUUUGAAAUUGAUAAUAUUAAAGACUAUAGCCCUCCAUAGGGAUGAAAGGCAGAGGAGGUGUAACGCCAAUACCAAGAAGUUGAAACAAGGGUUUCUUAUUAUGGUUAAGGUCAUCUCAAGUUGAGGACUGAAAGGUUCUCCUCAUGCUCAUCGCUCUGUGAAUUUUAAUAGCAGAAUCUUUCUAUGACUGGACCUUUCAUCGCUGUAUCUACUAUACUAUUGGCACAAGCAUUCGGUCACCAUACCUCAUUUGUUUCUAAAGAACUGCCCUUCUGUAGCCAAAUUUUUUUUUUUUUUUGAAACUAAGUGAACAUAUAUACUGAUGACUUUAAUAUAAUCAAGUGAAAGAGGAAAUGAAUAGAAGUCCCAAAACAUCUUCCAUUUCCACGACUAGGGAAUGGAAGAAGUGAUGGUCUUCCAUCCUAGCUCUCUCCAACAGGUGAAUACAGCCAUCCCAAAUUCCCAGUUUCAUUAACACUAGCUUAUAACCCCAUACGAUGCAUGGGACGUGAUUUUUCUAAAAUAAUAUUUGAUUUUAUUAUUUAUUUUAAUAUAUUUAUUUUAUAUAUAUUUUAAAAAUAUCUUCUAAGUCUUGUAAGCAUGCAUUCGUUGCGGCCACCGCACCUAUGAAAGUAAUGAACGACCUCGGACAAAGCUUAUCCAUUUCCAACCAUCGUUAAAUUGACCAAUUUCCAAGCUACUUAAUUCUGAUUAUUCACUGUAGACGAUUACUUCAGUCAUCCUUUCCCUCUAUCUUCAUCCUUUUCUUCUUUUCUUCGAUUCCUACCUCUCUCUCAGUCCCUAUUGAUUUAUUUAAAUCCGUCCUCUCUAACCCCCAGGAUGAUGACAGAGACAACGUCGAUGAGUCACGGCUAACUUCAACCCUCACCCUAUUUCUUUCACCAACAACGGCACUAUGUUGAGUCUCGAAAGUCUCAUCUAGAUCCUCGCCAUGAAAUCAAUCUCCAUUGAUUUCUUUCACCCUAUUCUAGACUUACCGCUGCGACUUGGAGGAGUUCCACUUCAGCCUGAAGAAGGAGACUAUGGUGCUUCGUGCGAUGAUAAUAAAUAUAUUAGAUUAAAUAUAUUACAUAUUAGAUAUAU